CAAUAGCGUAUAUUAACGUUGUUGCAGUUAAAAAGCUCGUAGUUGGAUUUCUGGAGGGAGCGUCGGCCCGUAUUUACGAGUGCGUGACGUCUCUGUCCAUCCUUGCGGGAAGGCACGGCAUUGAUUUGUUGUGUCGGAUCGCAUCAUUUACUGUGAAAAAAUUAGAGUGUUCAAAGCAGGCUUUCGCUUGAAUACAUUAGCAUGGAAUAUAAGAUAGGACUUUGGUGCUAUUUUGUUGGUUGAGCCUAAAGUAAUGAUUAAUAGGGAUAGUUGGGGGCACCUGUAUUGCGUUGUCAGAGGUGAAAUUCUUGGAUUUACGCAAGACAAACAGCUGCGAAAGCGUCUGCCAAGGAUGUUUUCAUUAA
rnacentral:rRNA from 1 species